CCUACGGGAGGCAGCAGUGAGGAAUAUUGGUCAAUGGACGUGAGUCUGAACCAGCCAAGUAGCGUGAAGGAUGACUGCCCUAUGGGUUGUAAACUUCUUUUAUAUGGGAAUAAAAUGUUCCACGUGUGGGAUUUUGUAUGUACCAUAUGAAUAAGGAUCGGCUAACUCCGUGCCAGCAGCCGCGGUAAUACGGAGGAUCCGAGCGUUAUCCGGAUUUAUUGGGUUUAAAGGGUGCGUCGGUGGAUUGUUAAGUCAGUUGUGAAAGUUUGCGGCUCAACCGUAAAAUUGCAGUUGAAACUGGAAGUAUUGAGUACAGUAGAGGUGGGCGGAAUUCGUGGUGUAGCGGUGAAAUGCUUAGAUAUCACGAAGAACUCCGAUUGCGAAGGCAGCUCACUGGACUGCAACUGACACUGAGGCUCGAAAGUGUGGGGAUCAAACAGGAUUAGAUACCCCAGUAGUC
rnacentral:rRNA from 1 species